GCCCGGUUGGUGGAACCGGUAGACACGCAGGCUUGAGGGGUCUGUGCCCGGAAACGGGCGUGCCGGUUCGACCCCGGCAUCGGGCA
rnacentral:tRNA from 1 species